CAGCCGCCGCGGGAAUACGGGGGGGGCAAGUGUUAUUCGGAAUGACUGGGCGUAAAGGGCACGUAGGCGGUGAAAAGGGUGGAAAGUGAAAGUCGCCAAAAUACUGGCGGGGUGCUUUCUUGACCAUUUCACUUGAGUGAGAUAGGGGAGAGUGGAAUUUCGUGUGGAGGGAUCAAAUCCUAAGAUAUACGAAGGAACGCCAACCGCGAAGGCAGCUCUCUGGGUCCCCACUGACGCUGGGGUGCGAAAGCAUGGGGAGCAAACAGGAUCAGAUACCCGGGUAGUCCCUGUCUCUUAUACA
rnacentral:rRNA from 1 species